rnacentral:lncRNA from 10 species
GCCAAGGCACGCCACUGUAUUGCCACCUAGGUGACAGCAAGACUCCAUCUCAAAAAAAAGUUUGGUCAUUGAGGACUCAAGAAUGAUCAGUUAAGCGUUGUCAAUGCCUGUGGAUUUUCAUUUGUAUCUGGUGGAGAAUCAGUUCCGUUAGUGUUUCUGAAGCCAUCUUGCCUUGUAAACAAACAAGAGCCAGGCACAGGGUCUGUCUUAGCCCUUGUGGUCAGUUUGCAAGGCCCUUUCACCCUAACCACCCGGCACAAGCACCCCGGCUACGCAGCCUUAGCUGAGGCCCCACUUCAUCCUCCAGGAGACGUGAGCACAGGUGGAAGGCUUGUCUGAGGCCAUACAGGAGCCAGCCAAGGGGCCUUUUCUCUCCCCUGACCCACCCUG